GAAAGAUAAAAUAUUUUGUUUGUAGCUCCAACAUAGACUGCACCUUUUAAUUCAAAAAAAACUACAGGACAUGAUGAAGAUUGUAACCAAGACAGUAUUUGUAAUGAUCCUUCUCAGUUUACUAGUUACCAAUGGAUUUAGUCUCCCAAAAACCCAAGCAAACGUGGUGCCUCAGCAAAGAGAUUGCCCUGGUGGUUGUAGUUUUUUAAUUCCUGUUUGCGCUCCAAGAUUUCCUGUGUGUAUAAAUGGCUUUUGUUCAUGCGGAAAAUUAGAUGGUGAAAAACAAAACUAGUAACCUAAUAUUUGUAUGUGUAGCCUGUGGUCUAUAUAUGAUAUAAAAUAAAUAAAAAUGCUAUUUGAAUAGUAAAAAUUAA